rnacentral:rRNA from 1 species
GACGAACGCUGGCGGCGUGCUUAACACAUGCAAGUCGAACGAUGAAGAAAAGAAUCGAAGCUUCGGCAGAAAUUCAUUUCGGAUUAGUGGCAGACGGGUGAGUAACGCGUGAGCAACCUACCUCUUACAAAGGGAUAGCCUCGGGAAACCGGGAUUAAUACCAUAUAACAUUGUGACGAAGCAUUUCGAUGCAAUCAAAGCUACGGCGGCAAGAGAUGGGCUCGCGUCCCAUUAACCGGAUGGUGAGGUAACGGCUCACCAUAGUGACGAUGGGUAACCGGCCUGAGAGGGUGAACGGUCACACUGGAACUGAGACACGGUCCAGACUCCUACGGGAGGCAGCAGUGGGGAAUAUUGCACAAUGGAGGGAACUCUGAUGCAGCGACGCCGCGUGAGUGAUGAAGGAAUUCGUUUCGUAAAACUCUGUUCUAUGGGAAGAAAAGGACUGUACCAUAGGAGAAAGCUCCGGCUAAAUACGUG